rnacentral:rRNA from 1 species
GUGUCAGCCGCCGCGGUAAGACGGAGGAGGCAAGCGUUAUCCGGAAUUAUUGGGCGUAAAGGGUCCGCAGGUGGCAGUUCAAGUCUGCAGUCAAAGGUCGGGGCUCAACCCCGGAAAGGCUGUGGAAACUGAACAGCUAGAGUACGGUAGGGGCAGAGGGAAUUCCCGGUGUAGCGGUGAAAUGCGUAGAGAUCGGGAAGAACAUCGGUGGCGAAAGCGCUCUACUGGAGAGCAACUGACACUCAGGGACGAAAGCUAGGGGAGCGAAAGGGAUUAGAUACCCCUGUAGUCCUAGCUGUAAACGAUGGAGACUAGGUGUGGCCUGUAUCGACCCGGGCCGUGCCGGAGCUAACGCGUUAAGUCUCCCGCCUGGGGAGUACGCACGCAAGUGUGAAACUUAAAUGAAUUGGCGGGG